GGUAUUUUGACUAUACGAAGGAAAUGAAAUAAGGCUUUUAUUGGGUACUAAGAGAAUGGUUGAACAGGGAUUAACUUUCUUUUAAUUUAAAAUGGAAAUUAAUUUAAAAAUGAAAAAGUUUUUAUAAAUUUUUGGGACAAGAAGACCCCAUGAAUUUUUUUUAUAACUGUAUUUUUAAUUUUUAUUUAAAGAAAGUAAAAUAUUUUUAUAAAUUAAUUGGGGUGAUUUUUAAAGAAUAUAUAUCUUUAAAAUUAAUGAAAUUAGAACCAUAAUUUUUGGUUAUUUGAUUAAAAUACUCUAGGGAUAACAGCGUAAUUAUUUUGGAUAGUUCAUAUAGAUAAAAUAGUUUGCGACCUCGAUGUUGGAUUAAGAUGCUUGUAUAAUGAAGUAGUUAUAUUAAGGAGUUUGCUCA
rnacentral:rRNA from 1 species